GACUCUCGGCAACGGAUAUCUCGGCUCUUGCAUCGAUGAAGAACGUAGCGAAAUGCGAUACUUGGUGUGAAUUGCAGAAUCCCGUGAACCAUCGAGUCUUUGAACGCAAGUUGCGCCCGAGGCCUUUUGGUCGAGGGCACGUCUGCCUGGGCGUCA
rnacentral:rRNA from 1 species